GCAAGCGUUACUCGGAUUCACUGGGCGUAAAGGGUGCGUAGGCCGCUAAGUGUGUCAGGCGUGAAAUCUCGGGGCUCAACCUCGAAACUGCGCCUGAAACUACUUAGCUUGAGUUUCGGAGAGGUAAGCGGAAUUUCUGGUGUAGCGGUGAAAUGCGUAGAUAUCAGAAGGAACACCAAUGGCGAAGGCAGCUUACUGGACGACAACUGACGCUGAGGCACGAAAGCGUGGGUAGCGAAAGGGAUUAGAUACCCCUGUAGUCCACGCCGUAAACGACGUGUGUUAGACGUUGGAAAUUUAUUUUCAGUGUCGCAGCGAAAGCGAUAAACACACCGCCUGGGGAGUACGACCGCAAGGUUAAAACUCAAAUGAAUUGACGGGGACCCGCACAAGUAGUGGAGCAUGUGGUUUAAUUCGAAGAUACGCGCAGAACCUUACCAACACUUGACAUGUUCGUCGCGACUUUAAGAGAUUAAAGUUUCGGUUCGGCCGGACGAAACACAGGUGCUGCAUGGCU
rnacentral:rRNA from 1 species